rnacentral:rRNA from 1 species
UACAGAGGUCUCAAGCGUUGUUCGGAUUCAUUGGGCGUAAAGGGUGCGUAGGCGGCGCGGUAAGUCGGGUGUGAAAUCUUGGAGCUUAACUCCGAAACUGCAUUCGAUACUGCCGUGCUUGAGGACUGGAGAGGAGACUGGAAUUCAUGGUGUAGCAGUGAAAUGACGUAGAGAUCAUGAGGAAGACCAGUGGCGAAGGUGGGUCUCUGGGCCGAAAACUGACGCUGGAGGAGCGAAAGCCGUGGGGGAGCAAACAGG